GAUGAACGCUGGCGGCGCGCCUAACACAUGCAAGUCGAACGAUUAAAGCACCUUCGGGUGUGUAUAAAGUGGCGAACGUCUGAGUAACACGUGGGCAACCUGCCCCUCUCAUUGGGAUAGCCACGGGAAACCGUGGAUAAUACCGAAUACUUCGGUACUUCCGCAUGGAAGAUACGAGAAAGCUCCGGCGGUGAGGGAUGGGCCCGCGGCCUGUUAGCUUGUUGGUGGGGUAAUGGCCUACCAAGGGAAUGAUGGGUAGCGGGGUCGAGAGGCCGACCAGCCAGAUUGGGACUGAGGAAAGGCCCCGACUCCUACGGGGGGCAGCAGUGGGGAAUCAUGCACAAUGGGCGAAAGACUGAGGCAGCGACGCCGCGUGCGGGAUGAAGGCCUUCGGGUUGUGAACCGCUUUCAGCAGGGACGAGGCGAAAGUGACGGUACCUGCAGAAGAAGCCCCGGCUAACUACGUG
rnacentral:rRNA from 1 species